GAUGAACGCUGGCGGCGUGCCUAAUACAUGCAAGUCGAGCGAAGCGGUGACGGGUUAGUAACACGUGGAUAACCUCCUAUAAGACUGGGAUAACUUCGGGAAACCGGAGCUAAACCGGAUACUUAUCGAUGGAUCCGCGCUGAAUUAGCUAGUUGGUAAGGUAACGGCUUACCAAGGCAACGAUGCAUAGCCGACCUGGGAGGGUAAUCGGCCACGCUAGAACUGGGACACGGUCCAAACUCCUACGGAAGGCAGCAGUAGGGAAGCUGCCGCAAUGAGCGAAAGCCGGACGGAGCAACGCCGCGUGAGUGAUGAAGGUCUUCGGAACGGGAAACUCUGUUAUUGGGGAAGCGGUACCUAAUCAGAAAGCCACGGCUAACUACGUGCCAGCAGCCGCGGUAAUUC
rnacentral:rRNA from 1 species